rnacentral:sRNA from 1 species
AUACCAGGGUCACAGACCAUUAGCCACGAUGUGCUUGCACAGGAGUGGCUAUAUGGUAUGAUGACCCGCUCAGACAUUCGCAUAAAAGCGGAGCGUAAGCUUCGCGAUAUGCGAAUGCCUGAGCGAAUUGCGGGAGUGCGGAGCACGUAGCAAUUCGUGGUAU